GCGCCCAUAGCUCAGCUGGAUAGAGUACUGCCCUCCGAAGGCAGGGGUCGUAGGUUCGAAUCCUACUGGGCGCG
rnacentral:tRNA from 1 species